CUUGGCCUCUCUCUGACGCGUGCCACCUGCCUAAGAUGGCAGAAGGACUUCUCCUUUCAUGGGCUUGUUCCUGCUCUCCCCGGGAGAGCGCCUCAGAUAUCAGCGUAUAGAAGCGUUUUCCAGGUGUUCAAAAUCUACUAUCAAAUGUCUCCUCUCCCCGAGUCCAGACCUGUCUCAGAUGAGAAGUCUCUCAAGGAGUCACAGUCAGCGCUGUCUCGCUGCUUCCACCUUCUGCCCUGCACCCCCGUUUCUGUUUUUAGCUUCUCCAGGAUUGAGAUGGGGAGCGCGCAAGGACCAAGGAUGUGGCAGGAAGGGGCUUGACUGGCAGGAGCUGUGUGGCUGGGGAGCUUCAGAUGUGGCGCCUGCUGGGUUGCUGGCUCUCUCCAAGCGCACUUUUGAGGUGUUCCCUCACUCAGCUGCUGAUGGCUCAGCCUGCCUGUGGUUCCACCCGCCUGGGGAAGACAGCCUGGUGUCCAAGUGCUCCUCUCGGAAGGGCCUUUCUAAGCUGACCGUAUCCUGCUCCUUUGGGAAAUUUGGACACACAUACAUGGAGAACGCACAGUGAUGAUCAAGGCAGAGAUGGGAGUGAGGCACUUGCAAGCUAAGGAACGCCAAGGAUUGCUGGUAACCACCAGAAGCUGGGAAGAGGCAAAGAAGUAUUCUUCCCCGGAGCCUUCAGAGAGAGAAUGGCCCUGCCGACAUCUUGAAUUUGGAUUUCUAGUCUCCAGAACUGUGAGAAUGGUUCUGUUGUCCGUAAGCCCCUCUAGUUUGUGUGUGGUAAUUUGUAAUGGCAGCCCCAGGAAACAAUCUGGCACCAUGAUGGGUGCAGCCUGAAGGGUUUUCCUGGGGAUGACACUGGGCCUGGCCCUGGCUUGGCUCUUGGGAGCUACCUGUUAGGGCCAGGUGCUGGAGGAACUGCUGGAUGUUCGCAGAAGGAUGCCAGGCCACCCCCUCCUGAGCCCUUCGCCAGACCAUAGAAGUCAGCCCUUAAGUGGGGACAGAGUCUCAGCCCCUGGAUCCCCACUGCAGCCCAGACUGGACCUGCUUCCGACUCCCCGUUCUGAGCCUUGGUCAGUCUCUCUCAGUCAACAGUGAUUUCCAUUGACGUUCGCCCUGGCCCUGCUGGGUAACAUCUCAUUCUGCUGGGCCUCUGCUGCCCAGGGCCCACAGGUCACUCUGGGACCUGGACAGGUGGUCACAGGAGUUGAUGUGGCAUCCUGGUCAGAGAGUCCAGAGACGCAUUACCGCCCGGCCACGGGCCUGGGGGAGACCCUCCCUCUCUCCGGGUGGGCCUCAGUUCUCUCAUCCCUGAAGAAGGGUUUGGGUGGAGCAAUUGUCAAGGUCUCCUUGGAGGGAGUCCUCACUCCUUAGUGGCAGCAGCAACACUACUAAUGAUCAGACAGGCAGGUGGCCUUCCUCCUGACCACGUGGCAGGCUGGGGAUGUGUUUUUUUGUCCUUCCUUAUCUUUCCUCUUCCUCCUUCUUCUUUCCUUCCUUUUCUGCUUCCCUCCCUUCCUUGUUUCUAUUUUUACAUGGAGAGGGGGAAGCUACUGACACCUUGGGUGGGACAGUUCUUCACUGAGCUGGACUGUCCCGUACACACCACCCUGGUACCCCACUCCCCAGCACUCGAUGCCAGUGGCACCCUAGAAUGCCUCCGGGCACUGCCAUGUAGCCCUGAGUGGACUGCUGAGUGUGCCCACUGCAGGUCUUUCCCUUCCUUUUCUCCCGCUGACCUCCCAUGCUACCCCUCUGCUGGGGUGGAAUGACGGCAUGUCUUUCCCGUGGUGCCACCGUCACCAUCUAUGGGCUGGAGCACCUGCUAGGGGUCCAGCAUGGUGAGGGCUGGUGGCUGGGAUAUGAGGUGGGGUGGGCGGCAGCGCUGGGCAAGCAGCAGGGUGUGCUGUGUCCAGGGAGCUGGGCCUUAGGAGGAGAGCGCUCUGUGGGGUGGGGCUGAGGGCUGGCAGGAGAAGGGACACAGCAGACCCUGCCCGCCUUCCCCCUGCCCUGUUCUCCUCCCUGCCUGGUCCCCGUGGGGUCAUCCAACGUGCUACCCCAGCUAGUGGGUCCCGCUAUAAGUCAGCCUGCUUGGCCCUGCCCAGCUGCCCCUUACUCAGUCACAGGGGUUUUGGGGGACGGGCCCGAAAGGGGCAAUUCCAGAGGAAGAAGUGGAGAGAAACUCAUCUGUGUCACUAGCCUCAAAAGUGCAGCCUCAGUAAAUGUGAGCUGACAAACUGAAAAUUCAGUCUAUAGACCAUUCAGGGCCUCAUGUCCUGAAGCCGUGAGGAAAACAAAUGAGGCACAGCCCGAGGUCAGGCUCCCUUUUCUCCCUCUUCCCUCUGACUCCCUUAUUCCUUUCUCCUGUUCUCAGACUGCAGGCCACAACUCCCAGCCAGUAUUCUCUUUCCAUCCCCUCUUGCCCUCCAAGGAAGCUUGCAGAAAUGCACGACUCAUUACAUAUUCUUCUGUGCUAUUAUUAAAUGAGGUAUAAUUUCACCCUUAAAUUAGCCCAGAACGUCCGCAGUGUUAACAUUCACAUCGGGGAGAGUGCAGUCAAGUUGGCUCCUUCUGGCCGUGGUGGGCAGGGGAGUAGAAAUGAGUUCAACCUGUCUGCACAGUGAUUUGGCAAAACAUGUCAAGAACUUUAUAAAUAGGACCUAUCAAAAGAAAUGAUCUUAGGGGCUGGCCCUGUGGCCGAGUGGUUAAGUUCACGCGCUCUGCUGCAGGCAGCCCAGUGUUUCUUUGGUUCAAAUCCUGGGCACAGACAUGGCACUGCUCAUCAA